rnacentral:rRNA from 1 species
CCUGGCGGAGGUUACUGCUAUCGAGGUUCGACUAAGCCAUGCGAGUCGAAUGUAGCAAUACAUGGCGUACUGCUCAGUAACACGUGGACAACCUACCCUUAGGCCUGGGAUAACCCCGGGAAACUGGGAAUAAUACCGGAUAUCUCGCGAAUGCUGGAAUGCGUCGCGAUAGAAAGCUCCGGCGCCUAAGGAUGGGUCUGCGGCCUAUCAGGGUAGUAGUGGGUGUAACGUACCUACUAGCCUACGACGGGUACGGGUUGUGAGAGCAAGAGCCCGGAGAUGGAUUCUGAGACACGAAUCCAGGCCCUACGGGGUGCAGCAGGCGCGAAAACUUUACAAUGCCGGCAACGGCGAUAAGGGGACCUCGAGUGCCAGGAUACAAUCCUGGCUGUCGUAAUGCCUAAAAAGCAUUGCAUAGCAAGGGCCGGGCAAGACCGGUGCCAGCCGCCGCGGUAACACCGGCGGCUCGAGUGGUAACCGCUAUUAUUGGGUCUAAAGGGUCUGUAGCCGGCUGACUAAGUCUCUUGGGAAAUCUGGCAGCUUAACUGUCAGGCUUUCAGGGGAUACUGAUCGGCUCGAGACCGGGAGAGGUGAGAGGUACCUCAGGGGUAGGGAUGAAAUCUUGUAAUCCUUGAGGGACCACCAGUGGCGAAGGCGUCUCACCAGAACGGAUCUGACGGCAAGGGACGAAAGCUAGGGGCACGAACCGGAUUAGAUACCCGGGUAGUCCUAGCCGUAAACGAUACUCGCUAGGUGUCGGCCACGGUGCGACCGUGGUCGGUGCCGUAGGGAAGCCGUGAAGCGAGCCACCUGGGAAGUACGGCCGCAAGGCUGAAACUUAAAGGAAUUGGCGGGGGAGCACUACAACGGGUGGAGCUUGCGGUUUAAUUGGAUUCAACGCCGGAAAUCUCACCGGGACCGACAGCGAUAUGAAGGCCAGGCUGAAGACCUUGCCGGAUUAGCUGAGAGGUGGUGCAUGGCCGUCGUCAGUUCGUACUGUGAAGCAUCCUGUUAAGUCAGGCAACGAGCGAGACCCA